rnacentral:lncRNA from 1 species
GAUAUACGUGGGAAUUACUCUGUUGUCAAUCUACAAUUCUACUCAGAGUCUCAUAAGGACACUUACAAUUUGGGUUGUAAAUCGUAAAUAUCUGCGUUAUGUAAAAAAAAUAAAUCGAAAAUUAAAAUGUACAAAAGAAAAUAAAGAAUAGAUCACGCAAACAUUAUAAACGUAAAAACGACUGUAAUUAAUUUAUAAAAUGGAUCUUGUAACGCGAACAGUUAGAGAUUCUGGUAGUAUCCUGGCGAUCCCAAAGGAGGACGGAGUCUAUCUUAGGAGACAUUGUCGACUUUGUCGCCCAAGUCCAAUUUAAAAUAACGAUUGUAUUUUCCAAGGAUUUUAAAAGGAGCCAAGAAGGUUGGAGAAAGAGAUUCUCCGAUUGGCUUAUUUUUAAUAAAAACGUAGUCAGCCUUGGUCAGAUGAUUGUCGAACGUUUCUCUCUGGAUUACUCGUGGGGGAACGUGAGCCACCUUCUCCAUCGUCUCGAAGAAGCGCCCCACGUCGGCAUCUGCCUUAUGAAUAGGAAACGAAUCGAAGAAGCCAAAGAUCCAGAGCGACCAAAUCCGUGCAACUAGGCUAGUUUUUAGGGAUCUUUGGAGAGCCCGUUUGAUUCAGGAUGAUAUGAUGUGGUCUUCCUAUUUGCGAUUCCAAGUGCCCUGCAAACACACGUCCAAAUAUCACUUGUAAAUUGCGUCCCCCUGUCUGACACAAUGAUGUCAGGUACUCCAAAUCUUGAUAUCCAACCGUCCAAGAAAGCUCCAGCCACUGUACUAGAGGGGAUAUUAGGAAUUGGGAUCACUUCCGACCACCUCGUAUACCGAUCCAUUAUAGUCCCUGAAAAACUCGCAUUUAUCAAGAGAAAGUGCCAAGCUGGAAGUUUUAAGCUGCAAAAAAACUGCAUUUAUGGACUGCUAAUGGUCCUCCCUUGUCCGAGAAGCAAUCAAUAUAUCAUCAAGAUACACGAAGACAUUCUUAAUUCCCCUCAGAACAGAAUCGAUAAGUUGUUGGAAUGUCUGGGCAGCAUUUUUAAGCCCAAACGGCAUUCUCAGGUACUCAUACAACCCAAAUGGCGUAAUGAUAGUUAUUUUACUGUUUAGCUUCACUCAUGGGUUGGCCACGAAAUCCCUAAAAUUUGGAAGAGGAUAUCGAUCUAGAUCCGUCAUGCUAUUUAAUUGACGAUAAUCACCACACAUUCGCCAGCCUCCUUUAGCUUUAGGUACUACAUGAAUCGCUGAUGAAAAAUUUGAAGAAGAUGGACGAAUUAUUCCCUUCUCUGGAAGUCCAUCAAUUUCGUUUUUAACAAAAUUGAGUUUAACACCAUCCAGCUUGCGGGAUUUUCCACAGCAGGAAGGACUCUUAGAUUCGAUGUACUCCGUGAGCUGGGUAUGACACAUCUAUUAAUGGAGUCGUAAAUCAUAUGACUUGCCAGUAUGUUAUUAAAAAUGUAAAAAUAAACAUGGUAUUGUCAAGGUUAAUAGAAAUACAAGGUUAUACCAUAAUGUGUGUACGACUUCCAUCACGUUUUUAAUAUUUACGUCAUAGUAUGGAGAUGAGUGGUUGCGCGUUUUGUCAAAAUCUGUUUUUCUUGCCUAGCAGUCGAAUUGAAAAUUAAAUUGAUAAAAAUCAUUAAAUUGAAAAUUCUAGCACUAGUGAUGUCAUAAACUUUGAUUGCUCGCGUGUUUUUUGUCAAAAUAUGUGUGUCUUGUCCAGCAGUCAGUACGAUACAUCAAAUUGAAAAUUCUAGCAAGCCCAAUUACAUGAUAGUCUAACCUUGUAUUUCUAUUAACCUGGGCAUUACCUAGAAUUUACUACUUUAACUAUAUUUUGAGUUCUAAAUUCUGAGAAAAUUCGAAGAUUGAUUGGAAGGAGAGCAGUUUAGCUGCCGUGACGUUUUAUUAUAGCACCUGCAAGCAGCCUUGAGAUGUUGUACUAUCAGGACUAUUUAACGCCCGACGCGACUUAUCAGUGGAUAUGUUGCACAAGUAUAUAAAGUAUCAAUCAUGAAGUUUCAACACAACGUUUCCAACAGCAAUUUGGUGACUUCGCUUUGCAUUGGGUUAAUAAAACGCACUUUAUAAUAAAUAAACAUCUACAGUAAGCCCAUUUAAACCGAAGAUUUAUCGAGAAUAUUUUUAUCCAAUAAUGUCUACCAAUAUGUUUUUUAGAGUUUGAUUACAUCCAUUUGAAUACAACAUUGCCCCACUGAGUCAAAAAUUACAAUGGAAUAACCAUUUGAUAUUUUUAUCUGAUGUUAUUGAAAUAUUUAAUUGUAUAUUCACUAAUUUGUCCAGUCAUAUAGUGCAUUUUGUACACAUUUAUUGCUUGACUUGGGUUUAAAUUCAGGGAAUUGUCACACAAAUAAGCUAAAUGCUCAUUUUUUUUACUCCAGUUCGUUUCUAAAUAUUGCCUUCAUACUUCUUAUUAUUUGAAAACUUGAUAAUUGAUACGCUAUUUUAUAUCCCUUCUUGCCAUUACUUUAAUACAAACCUUAUCUCUGACUUCUUUUAAAAACUAUGUACGAUCAAUAUAUUACUUCAUCUUUGGUAAAAGCUCUCCGCUGUAAAAAGUAAGUUACAUAUGAAGAAAUUUAUAAAAACUCUGAGCCCUUUGGCAUAUAGAUUUUUUCCAACAGACGACUAAUAGUCUAGUUGCAUGUCAAAAAAGUAACGAAAGUAUUAUCUUUCAAACAACAAAUCUACCAUCAGGGAAAUUUUAAACAUUAUUUCCUAAAUAAUAAUCCAGACACUACAAUUAUGCAUCUUCUUUGGAUGAAAUAUGAUAAGAGGAUAGACAAAGAAAUCGACUAUUUUAAAUUUGCAAAUAAUUUGAGAGUGAAAAAGGAAGAUUCCUUAUUCAACCAGUGCUACCACAACAAUUUGGGAGUGAGGAUGAUGCACUUCCACCUUUUCCCAACCCUUAUUUGAAAUGGUAUUUAUUUUAGUUAGAAGGAUAUGGUAAAAUAUAUCAUUGAAGGCACUUAAACGUUGUUUAAAAAGUGUAUUAUAGUACCCAUUUCAAUUUAAUUCAUCUCUCAUAAAUAAGGAUAUAGUGUAAUAAUAACAAUAAAUUAUAAAUACAGAA